rnacentral:lncRNA from 1 species
AUGUGGAUUAGUCAAGACGACACUAAAGUCAUCCAACCUGAAGCAGGAGUCUGGGAGCUCAUUCUGGUUGCAGCCUUCCUGUUGGGACUGGGGAGAAUUCUGCAGAGAAAUAGGCCAACUAAGCGAUUUAGUUUUCUUUUAAUUCUUGUUUGUCUCAUGGUGUUACCAUAUGGAGGAGGCACACAGCAUUUUGUAACAGACACCUGUGCAGAUGAUGGUCCACUAGUGCCAAGUGGUGGCAGUCAAAAAUUUAUGAAAAAUGAGUAUGCCAUGGAUGCAAGGAAAGGCCAUGACCCAGGACCAUGUCAUUGGACUACUGAUAUCAUCUCAUACAACAGGCCUAUCCAAAAUUGUGAUGGCCAUGUCCUGCUGAGAUCUGCAACUCCAGCCAAGGCAAAGCAGAGGGCUCCAGCUAAUGGCUGCUGGAACAGAGCGACCUAA